GCAUAUCAAUAAGCGGAGGAAAAGAAACCAACAGGGAUUGCCUCAGUAACGGCGAGUGAAGCGGCAACAGCUCAAAUUUGAAAUCUGGCCCUUUCAGGGUCCGAGUUGUAAUUUGUAGAGGAUGUUUCGGGUGUGGCUCCGGUCUAAGUUCCUUGGAACAGGACGUCAUAGAGGGUGAGAAUCCCGUAUGUGACUGGUAGCCUAUGCCCAUGUGAAACUCCUUCGACGAGUCGAGUUGUUUGGGAAUGCAGCUCAAAAUGGGUGGUAAAUUUCAUCUAAAGCUAAAUAUUGGCCAGAGACCGAUAGCGCACAAGUAGAGUGAUCGAAAGAUGAAAAGCACUUUGGAAAGAGAGUUAAACAGUACGUGAAAUUGUUGAAAGGGAAGCGCUUGCAACCAGACUUGCAUGUAGCUGAUCAACCGGUGUUCUCACCGGUGCACUCAGUUGCGUUCAGGCCAGCAUCGGUUUCGACGGUUGGAUAAAGGCCUUGGGAAUGUAGCUCCUCUCGGGGAGUGUUAUAGCCCAGGGUGCAAUGCAGCCUGUUGGGACCGAGGACCGCGCUUCGGCUAGGAUGCUGGCGUAAUGGUUGUAAGCGACCCGUCUUGAAACACGGACCAAGGAGUCUAACAUCUAUGCGAGUGUUUGGGUGUCAAACCCAUACGCGUAAUGAAAGUGAACGGAGGUGAGAACCCUUAAGGGUGCAUCAUCGACCGAUCCUGAUGUCUUCGGAUGGAUUUGAGUAAGAGCAUAGCUGUUGGGACCCGAAAGAUGGUGAACUAUGCCUGAAUAGGGUGAAGCCAGAGGAAACUGCUGGUGGAGGCUCGCAGCGGUUCUGACGUGCAAAUCGAUCGUCAAAUUUGGGGUAAUAAGGGGGCGAAAGACUAAUCGAACCAUCUAGUAGCUGGUUCCUUGCCGAAG
rnacentral:rRNA from 1 species